rnacentral:lncRNA from 1 species
AUGGCCACGUUUAAUCCCAUUAUUGUCUGGAUUAUAUUUGUCCGGCCGCUCCACGCUUGUGCAGCCCUGCACAGCUAUGCUCCCGGCCCAGACCUUUGGGGACGGGCUCCCAAGGGAGCUAUGAAAAGUCCCAGCACCCUGCAAGGUGUGAAAGCAAGGGGCUGGGCUGCCCUUUCGGGCUGUCUCUGGGCAAGGUUGAGCCAUGCCAAGGGCAGGGGCGAGGGACAGAUCCCUUCUCUAUGUCUGCCUCUGCGGCCGAGAUGCCAGAGCUCUAUUUUUAUCUCUCUCCCAAUCCCCUGUAAUGCUUUGAUUGCACAAACUCCUUCCCACUGCACCCAGGGGCUGCGUGUAGAGAGCUGUGCCCAGCCAGGAGCGGGCUGGAGCCCCAGGAGGACCUACUCACCAGCAAGUGGUGUCUGCUCUUUUUUCUCCCUUUUUCAAGUAGGCCUUUCACAGAAAAAAGAAAAACAACCCCAAGGUCCUUCUGGCUCCACGUGGACGCUCCUGCUGGCCUUGGCCUUUCCCUCAGAAGAAGGCUUUGUCUCACUGACCUUGGCUGGCCUCCUGCCCACAGCCCUCCCCUGCCACCAGCCGUGUCCCACGAGCGCAUUGUGCCGGAGGGCAGUGUGGCUCAGGGACGCUGUGCCCCAAUGGACCUUCAUCACAGCACGAUGUGUGAGCUCUGGCCCGAUGCUGCUCAUGGUGAAUACGUUUGCAAAGCCUUGGAGCCCGUGCAAAAUAAAAGGGUGUGGGCCACAUGCUCGCAGCAGGGAAGGGAGGAGCAGGGCUGCUUGUUGGAAGGGCUCUGCCGGCUCACAGAGCCCUCGGGGCCCAUGGGGGGCCAUGAACGCUCCUAUCCCCACUGGGCACCCAGGGACGUGCAGCACACGUGCAUCCUGCCCUGGCACACUGGCCACAGGCCCCGGCAUGUCGGUAACUCGGCAAGAGAGCACUUGUAGAAAGCCAAGUCAUGCUGUGCCCGUGCUCACCUCCCCUCUCUUACAGGGCUGCACGUGGAGCUGCCGGAGCGAGGCACCCCAGGGAGCCACCAUGCCUGCAUGUCUGCCCAGACCUACACCGAGGCCUCCCGCUGCCCCCUCGCCCCACUGA